rnacentral:rRNA from 1 species
GAGUUUGAUCCUGGCUCAGAGCGAACGCUGGCGGCAUGCUUAACACAUGCAAGUCUCACGGGCAGCAAUGUCAGUGGCGGACGGGUGAGUAACGCGUAGGUAUCUAUCUCUGGGUGGGGGAUAACCGUGGGAAACUACGACUAAUACCGCAUGACACCUGAGGGUCAAAGGCGCGAGUCGCCUGGAGAGGAGCCUGCGUACGAUUAGCUAGUUGGUGGGGUAAAGGCCUACCAAGGCUGCGAUCGGUAGCUGGUCUGAGAGGAUGAUCAGCCACACUGGGACUGAGACACGGCCCAGACUCCUACGGGAGGCAGCAGUGGGGAAUAUUGGACAAUGGGCGAAAGCCUGAUCCAGCAAUGCCGCGUGAGUGAUGAAGGCCUUAGGGUUGUAAAGCUCUUUCGGGUGGGACGAUGAUGACGGUACCACCAGAAGAAGCCCCGGCUAACUUCGU